ACCGCUUGUAACGUCGCUAUUGAAAUCAUAAAGAAAUUGUUUCCAGGGUUGAUAUAGCUGCCUCCUGAUAAAUGCAGUAUAAAUCAUGGUAAACCAGAAGAACAAGAUCUAAUACAAUUCCAGUAGACGAGAUGACGAUGUGAAAUCGCGCCCUAAAAGUGGAAGAAUUAUUGAACCAAAGAUUACAGUAGCUCGUACUCGCUAGAAAAAAACCGUAAAUCCCAAAACAAAUUUCAAGUUCAAAAGUCAUAUCAACGUCAGGCUGAUCCCUGUCUAC